CAGCAGUCGCCACGGUAAUACAGAGGGUGCGAGCGUUAAUCGGAUUUACUGGGCGUAAAGCGUGCGUAGGCGGCUAAUUGAGUCGGAUGUGAAAUCCCCGAGCUUAACUUGGGAAUUGCAUUCGAUACUGGUUAGCUAGAGUGUGGGAGAGGAUGGUAGAAUUCCAGGUGUAGCGGUGAAAUGCGUAGAGAUCUGGAGGAAUACCGAUGGCGAAGGCAGCCAUCUGGCCUAACACUGACGCUGAGGUACGAAAGCAUGGGGAGCAAACAGGAUUAGAUACCCGCGUAGUCCCUGUCUCUUAUAC
rnacentral:rRNA from 1 species